rnacentral:lncRNA from 1 species
AUUAUAUAAUUAAAAUUAUUUUAUUGUUAAGUCAAAUUUGGUAUCAAAAAAUAAAUUUAAUUCACGAUUUAAACUCAAAUUUAAAAUUUUAAUGUAAAAUAGAUGGAAAGGAAUGACAUUUUUUUUAACAGUUUGAUCAUAUCCAUUCAUUUUUAUUUAAAAUAUUUUUAACAAAUUGAUUAUAAUCGUUUGCAGAAUUAAAUUUAUAGAUCGAUAUGAAUAUUUUUUUUAACAGAUUGAUCAUAACCGUUCGUUUUUAUUUGCGUUUUUUUAAUAAAUUGAUCAAAACCAUUCGUAGGGAAUAUUCUUUUAUUUCUUUUUGAUUUCAUUUGUCAUUCCUAUACGCUUUUAUAUGUAGUAUAGAUAUAUAUAUUAUGUAGCACACUGAAUUUCAGCAAAUUGCGAGGUUCUAGUGAGAGGAAUAGUAUUCUAUACUAUUCAAAGAGAUUGGACUGAGUUUUGAGAGCUUGGGAGAGUUUUCGGAGCUUGUGUAGCGCUAAAACGAACUCCGAAGACCAAAAUCUACAAAAGCUGCAAUUUUGGCAAUUGCGUACCGGUACCGAGCUUCGAUACUGAAACCCUGUUGUAUAUUAGUUCGGACAGCUCUCGGGUUUUGCCGAACCUGGUUGGGUACUUGUAUUAAUAUGACUUGUACCAGCACUGAUACGCGUGAUACCAGAACUCAGUAGAGGUAUGAGAAAUCCAGUUGUUCGAAUUUUGCGGG